CAGCCGCCGCGGGAAUACGGAGGGCGCGAGCGUUACCCGGAUUUACUGGGCGUAAAGGGCGUGUAGGCGGCCUGGGGCGUCCCAUGUGAAAGGCCACGGCUCAACCGUGGAGGAGCGUGGGAUACGCUCAGGCUAGAGGGUGGGAGAGGGUGGUGGAAUUCCCGGAGUAGCGGUGAAAUGCGCAGAUACCAGGAGGAACGCCGAUGGCGAAGGCAGCCACCUGGUCCACUUCUGACGCUGAGGCGCGAAAGCGUGGGGAGCAAACCGGAUUAGAUACCCCCGUAGUCCCUGUCUCUUAUAC
rnacentral:rRNA from 1 species